UCAAGUGAAUAAGUGCAUCAGGUGGAUGCCUUGGCGAUGAUAGGCGACGAAGGACGUGUAAGCCUGCGAAAAGCGUGGGGGAGCUGGCAAUAAAGCUAUGAUCCCGCGAUGUCCGAAUGGGGAAACCCACUGCAUUCUGUGCAGUAUCCUAAGUUGAAUACAUAGACUUAGAGAAGCGAACCCGGAGAACUGAACCAUCUAAGUACCCGGAGGAAAAGAAAUCAACCGAGAUUCCGCAAGUAGUGGCGAGCGAACGCGGAGGAGCCUGUACGUAAUAACUGUCGAGAUAGAAGAACAAGCUGGGAAGCUUGACCAUAGUGGGUGAUAGUCCCGUAUUCGAAAUCUCAACGGUGGUACUAAGCGUACGAAAAGUAGGGCGGGACACGUGAAAUCCUGUCUGAAUAUGGGGGGACCAUCCUCCAAGGCUAAAUACUCAUCAUCGACCGAUAGUGAACCAGUACCGUGAGGGAAAGGCGAAAAGAACCCCGGGAGGGGAGUGAAAUAGAACCUGAAACCUGAUGCAUACAAACAGUGGGAGCACCCAUGUGGUGUGACUGCGUACCUUUUGUAUAAUGGGUCAACGACUUACAUUCAGUAGCGAGCUUAACCGAAUAGGGGAGGCGUAGGGAAACCGAGUCUUAAUAGGGCGAACAGUUGCUGGGUGUAGACCCGAAACCGAGUGAUCUAUCCAUGGCCAGGUUGAAGGUGCCGUAACAGGUACUGGAGGACCGAACCCACGCAUGUUGCAAAAUGCGGGGAUGAGCUGUGGAUAGGGGUGAAAGGCUAAACAAACUCGGAGAUAGCUGGUUCUCCCCGAAAACUAUUUAGGUAGUGCCUCGAGCAAGACACUGAUGGGGGUAAAGCACUGUUAUGGCUAGGGGGUUAUUGCAACUUACCAACCCAUGGCAAACUAAGAAUACCAUCAAGUGGUUCCUCGGGAGACAGACAGCGGGUGCUAACGUCCGUUGUCAAGAGGGAAACAACCCAGACCGCCAGCUAAGGUCCCAAAUGAUAGAUUAAGUGGUAAACGAAGUGGGAAGGCCCAGACAGCCAGGAUGUUGGCUUAGAAGCAGCCAUCAUUUAAAGAAAGCGUAAUAGCUCACUGGUCGAGUCGUCCUGCGCGGAAGAUGUAACGGGGCUCAAAUCUAUAACCGAAGCUGCGGAUGCCAGUUUACUGGCAUGGUAGGGGAGCGUUCUGUAGGCCGAUGAAGGUGCAUUGUAAAGUGUGCUGGAGGUAUCAGAAGUGCGAAUGUUGACAUGAGUAGCGAUAAAGCGGGUGAAAAGCCCGCUCGCCGAAAGCCCAAGGUUUCCUACGCAACGUUCAUCGGCGUAGGGUGAGUCGGCCCCUAAGGCGAGGCAGAAAUGCGUAGUCGAUGGGAAACAGGUUAAUAUUCCUGUACUUGAUUCAAAUGCGAUGUGGGGACGGAGAAGGUUAGGUUAGCAAGCUGUUGGAAUAGCUUGUUUAAGCCGGUAGGUGGAAGACUUAGGCAAAUCCGGGUCUUCUUAACACCGAGAAGUGACGACGAGUGUCUACGGACAUGAAGUAACCGAUACCACGCUUCCAGGAAAAGCCACUAAGCUUCAGUUUGAAUCGAACCGUACCGCAAACCGACACAGGUGGGCAGGAUGAGAAUUCUAAGGCGCUUGAGAGAACUCGGGAGAAGGAACUCGGCAAAUUGAUACCGUAACUUCGGGAGAAGGUAUGCCCUCUAAGGUUAAGGACUUGCUCCGUAAGCCCUGGAGGGUCGCAGAGAAUAGGUGGCUGCGACUGUUUAUUAAAAACACAGCACUCUGCUAACACGAAAGUGGACGUAUAGGGUGUGACGCCUGCCCGGUGCUGGAAGGUUAAUUGAAGAUGUGAGAGCAUCGGAUCGAAGCCCCAGUAAACGGCGGCCGUAACUAUAACGGUCCUAAGGUAGCGAAAUUCCUUGUCGGGUAAGUU
rnacentral:rRNA from 1 species